CUAGGUGCUUAUGAUAAAACUGUAAAAGUAUGCAAAUUUAUCAUGAAUAUUGAUCAUGUUUAUGUAAACGUUCAUCGUCUUUAUGCUUGUCAAUACUAUUCUUUGUAACUGAUUUGACCACUUUUUGCUUUAUUACAUAAAGCAAGCCCAGGUAUGUGUAAUGUCAUAAUAAGAAUUAAUACAUAAACAUGAGUAGGAGUUUAUUUGCAGGGAU